UCUUGGCGAAGAGAUGAUGAUGAUGAGAAGUUAAAAUCUUGGCUUUUGGGAACUUAGAAAUGCAUUCUAGAUUUGAAAUUUUAAGAUGAGCUGAGAUUCUUAUACAAAUCUGAAGUUACAUUAUAAUUUAUUAGACUUUUUCCGUCUUUUAUUAUUUGAUUCAUAAAAUGGUGGAAUGACAUAAUAAUUCUGGGAUUAAGAAAUUAUUUAGUAAUAAUACAAUUUUUUGUAUGAUAAUAUUUUUAAACCACAUUUUACAAGAUUUCAACAAGAAAAACCACAAAAAGAAACAAUACAAUUAUGUGAGUUUGUUUUCCUAACCGAGAAGUUGUGUCUGACAGGUGACAGAAGAAAACAAUACAAAUCUUGCUUGAAUUGCAUAUUUAAGAUACCACAUCAUUAUGUUAACCAAGCCUCCCUAUCUUCUGCAGGCCGGUUAUUUGUCUACACUAUGUCUGGACUCUUUUUUUUAUUCCACACCGAGACUGCUGCCAAAGUAAGUUCCAUGGUCAUAUGAAUUAGGUGCUUUUGAUGGUUCAUCUAAUUACUACUCCCAUUCUCUCUUCUGAACACAUACUUUACACUGCAUUAGAUUGGGUGGUCCCGUCGGUUCUGACACCGCCGCUGCUUCAAUGUAUCGUGGUGUUAACAAGAUAGAAUCUUUUACCGUCGCUGAGCUUAAUAAAUAUGUUCUCAAUUCUCCACUUCAGGUAUACCUUCAAAAUGUAUUUAUUUACGUGCUCUACAAUAUUUACUGGUUGAUUAUUAAUGCUGACUCAUCGAAACAGUCAACCGAGUUUCUCUGCGAUGGAAAGUCAUUGGCAUAUAAACAGAGAACACCUCCUGUUCGAACUGUUCCAAGAAGCUACAACAGGGCUUUCGUCCUUCACAUGCGUUGCAUGUGAUGAUUCCAAAGCCUUUGGUGUUGCAGCUUCCAGGUAACCAACAUUUACAUUCAGUUUAUACAAUCAAAUCUCUUACUUAGCUACACUAAACUCCGAAGAAGAAAAGUUUAAUCUGUCCCAAAGAGUUGCUCAUAAGAUUUCUCCUCUUGACGUACAUCUUAUACAUUUUUGAAUGUUUAUUAUUUAGUAAAUGUUUUGUUCAAUUUAUUUUAAAAUUUUUAUUUGCAAGUGAAACACCAAAGAGUAACGAUACUUCCAUCUACUGUUUACUUUGAAACAAAAAAUAAAAGCUUUUGGUAUUUAAAUAUAUUCUCCUGAGUAUUUGAGCUUAUAGUAUUUGGAUAUUUCAAAUUUGUUUUCUUGCUGGUCUACAAAUUUUUAAGAAAUUCUAUUUGAAGUUUCCUCGCACUACAAGGAUGAUAACAACUUUUAAAUCGCACAAGCUCAAACAUAAUUGAUAAUACUACACAAUUUCAAUAAAAUAUUUCCCUCCAGCUAACUUUCUCAUUGUUUGUUUCCUUAGUAGUUCGGUUGAUCAUUUUAAUUGAUAAUACUACACAAUUUCAAUAAAAAAUAAAAUACCAAGUGUUUCAAAAAAACAGGUAAUUCAUGAUGAUCAUUUUUUGGCAACAAUUCAUGGUGAUCUUAGUCAUAAAAAUUCUGUAAUCACAGUGAGAUACUUGGGGGUAACAUGAACCCACGCCUUCCCGGCCUCAUCAGUGAGCUUUGUGACAAGCAUGAACCCCAAGAUUGCUGGAUGUGCUCUGUCAUGAAAUGGCAACUAUUAAAACCGACAGUGAUGUUUCUCUGACUUUGAGUUUGCUCGACUCACAAGCUGUAUUGUUUCACAAAUACCUGGAAGGCUUCUGUGUUGAUCAAGGAGUUGUUAUUGCAACAAGCAUAAACCCCAAGGUUGUUGGAGGUG